rnacentral:rRNA from 1 species
CAGCCGCGGUAAUACGUAGGGUCCGAGCGUUGUCCGGAAUUACUGGGCGUAAAGAGCUCGUAGGUGGUUUGUCGCGUUGUUCGUGAAAACUCACAGCUUAACUGUGGGCGUGCGGGCGAUACGGGCAGACUUGAGUACUGCAGGGGAGACUGGAAUUCCUGGUGUAGCGGUGGAAUGCGCAGAUAUCAGGAGGAACACCGGUGGCGAAGGCGGGUCUCUGGGCAGUAACUGACGCUGAGGAGCGAAAGCGUGGGGAGCGAACAGGAUUAGAUACCCUGGUAGUCCACGCCGUAAACGGUGGGUACUAGGUGUGGGUUUCCUUCCUUGGGAUCCGUGCCGUAGCUAACGCAUUAAGUACCCCGCCUGGGGAGUACGGCCGCAAGGCUAAAACUCAAAGAAAUUGACGGGGGCCCGCACAAGCGGCGGAGCAUGUGGAUUAAUUCGAUGCAACGCGAAGAACCUUACCUGGGUUUGACAUGCACAGGACGCUGGUAGAGAUAUCAGUUCCCUUGUGGCCUGUGUGCAGGUGGUGCAUGGCUGUCGUCAGCUCGUGUCGUGAGAUGUUGGGUUAAGUCCCGCAACGAGCGCAACCCUUGUCCUAUGUUGCCAGCGGGUUAUGCCGGGGACUCGUAGGAGACUGCCGGGGUCAACUCGGAGGAAGGUGGGGAUGACGUCAAGUCAUCAUGCCCCUUAUGUCCAGGGCUUCACACAUGCUACAAUGGCCGGUACAAAGGGCUGCGAUGCCGUGAGGUGGAGCGAAUCCUUGUAAAGCCGGUCUCAGUUCGGAUCGGGGUCUGCAACUCGACCCGUGAAGUCGGAGUCGCUAGUAAUCGUAGAUCAGCAACGCUACGGUGAAUACGUUCCCGGGGCUUGC